rnacentral:rRNA from 1 species
AGUGAACGCUGGCGGUAGGCCUAACACAUGCAAGUCGAACGGCAGCACAGUAAGAGCUUGCUCUUACGGGUGGCGAGUGGCGGACGGGUGAGGAAUACAUCGGAAUCUACUUUUUCGUGGGGGAUAACGUAGGGAAACUUACGCUAAUACCGCAUACGACCUACGGGUGAAAGCAGGGGAUCUUCGGACCUUGCGCGAUUGAAUGAGCCGAUGUCGGAUUAGCUAGUUUGCGGGGUAAAGGCCCACCAAGGCGACGAUCCGUAGCUGGUCUGAGAGGAUGAUCAGCCACACUGGAAAUGAGACACGGUCCAGACUCCGACGGGAGGCAGCAGUGGGGAAUAUUGGACAAUGGGCGCAAGCCUGAUCCAGCCAUACCGCGUGGGUGAAGAAGGCAUUCGGGUUGUAAAGCCCUUUUGUUGGGAAAGAAAAGCAGCAGGUUAAUACCCCGCUGUUCUGACGGUACCCAAAGAAUAAGCACCGGCUAACUUCGUG